UUUUUUUUUUUUUUUUUAGUAAAAUUGACCAUGGAUGGGCAGCCCUGGUGGCUUAAUGGUUUAGCGCCGCCUUCAGCCCAGGGCAUGAUCCUGGAGAACCAGGAUCCAGUCCCACGUCGGGCUCCCUGCACGGACCUGCUUCUCCCUCUGCCUGUAUCUCUGCCUUCUCUCUGUGUCUCUCAUGAAUAAAUAAAUAAAAUCUUUAAAAAAAAAAAAAAAGAAAUCUUUAAAACUUUGAAUUUUCUUUUAAUCCUAAGAUUUCCUGGCUCAUGGAAUGUUUAUGUUAGAAAAAAAAAUCCUAAAAACCCACAAAUUUUUUUCAUUAAUACUUAAACAAUUUCUAAAGAUGAAAAUAAUAUUUUUUUUUAAGGGCACCUGAGUGGCUUAGUAGUUAAGCAUCUGCCUACAGCCCAGGUCAUGAUCCCGGGGUCCUGGGAUCGGGUCCCAGAUCAGGCUCCCCACAGGGAACCUGCUUCUCCCUAAGCCUAUGUCUCUGCCCCUCUCUGUAUCUCUCAUGAUUAAAUACAUAAAAUCUUAAAAAAAAAAAAAAAAAGGAAAGAAAUUAAUAUUUUUUCCAGGACCAAAGGAGAAGGGGGAAAUCAUGAGGAUUGCAGUUUGAUUACACAGUUUGAUAGACUUGAUGGUAUGUAUACUGACGAAAUAAUUAUUCAAAAGAUUUGCAUUAGAUGAUUAGCUUAAUUUCUAUUAUAAUUUGGUUAACAGUAAUAUUUUUAUUUCUUGACUACAUCUGAGAAGUGGAGUUUAUGAAACAACAUGUAAUAAUCUGGGACCUAUCAAACUGAUGGAUAUUAAUUGAUGUCCCUAAGCCCCAUGCCAGGCUCUUAUUUCCUCAUGUUCUCCAUAUGUUGUCCUUUCCUUAUAAAUGUAAAAGUUAUGAGUAAAGAAGGAAAUAAAAACCUAAUUCAGAUAUGGAACUGAUAACAAACAAGCUGCUUUAAAUAUGUCAAUAAGCAGGAUCCCAGGGUGGCUCAGCGGUUUAGUGCCUGCCUUCAGCCCAGGGCAUGAUCCUGGAGUCCCGGGAUCGGGUCCCGCAUCGGGCUCCCUGUGUGGAGCCUGCUUCUCCCUCUGCCUGUGUCUCUGCCUCUCCCUCUCUCUCAGUGUCUCUCAUGAAUAAAUAAAUAAAAUCUUUAAUAAAUAAAUAUGUCAAUAAGCUGUGUAAAUCACAUAUAACAUACUCCAAAAGGGCAAAAGUGCAAGAAAAAAAUGAGUCACAAUCCACAGGUGUAGAGCACAAAGGUGAUAAAAAUAUAUUUCAUUUAUCUAGGGUCCAGCAGUUGAGAAAUACCAUUCUAGUACUACUUCACAUCUGACACCUGGAAAUCCCUCUGAAAUAAGCAAACAGAUUCAUUUUUAAUUCCUCGAGAGAUGAAGCAGGUAUUACCUCCUGAAGUCAUCUCUUAUUUCUCUAGACAGCUCUGAUUGAAGAUGAAGCCUUUUUAUCAAGAAGAAAAUGGUUUCCUUCUAAUUUAACACAGCAGUGCUAGCUCUACUCCCUAUAAUCACACAGAAGAUUAAUCUCUCUUCCACUGUAUGGCUCUGAAAACAGUUAAAACACAGUUAUUGUGGCCGUCACUUUUCCAGACAAAAUAACUCCAAUACCUCUUAAGUGUACUUCAUAAUCAUGGGAAGAAUUCUCCAUUCUCCUUGUUUGCAUUAGUUAUAUCUAAAUUUUCUGAGUGCAUAAAACAAAUCCAUUCUAUCAAUGAAAUAAGCAACACACUGAACUCUUAGAACUGAGUCCUGGCUUCCUCAUUAAACUGCACAUGGAAAGUGCCAUUUCCUCUCUGGGCUUGAGAGUGCUAGACCACACAUUUUCUAGUUUCAAUAUAUUAUGAAUACAUCUCAAAACAAUGAUUUGCAAUAUUGCUUUUAUUUUGUUAAAAAGUUAAAAAUAAAUAUUUACCCAAUAUUUUUUAAUAUUCACAAGGGCCUUUUACUUAAUUAUGGGCACUACGUGUGAUGACCCUAAAAUAACAGUAUUUAAAAGUCCCUGACACUUAGAACAUAAUGGUGGCUGCUGGGAAUAGAGGAGAGAAGGGUGACAAAUACUUAUGUAGUAUAAUCAUGUAACUAUAAGCACAAUUUUAAAAGGUCCAAAUUUACCUAAAUUGAAAUUAAGCAUAAAUUUAAGCUUGAGAAGUUCUUGUUUUUCUAGAUCUGAACUGUAUAAUACAGUAGUUAAUAAUCACAUAAUGGCUAUCUAAAUUUAUAUUAAGCUAAAUUAUAAGUUCAUUUACUGAGAUUAGCCACCUUUCGAGUACUAAACAGCCAUAAUAUGGCUAGUAGCUACUGUACUGAACAAUGAACAACACAGAUAUAGAACACUUAUGUCACAGCAACAAGUUCUACUGGGGCAGUGCCAUUCUAAAUAGAUUCACUUGUAUCUACUUUGCAUAUGGAAGACCUGCAUAGCAAAGUCUCAAAACACUUGGCCUCUAAAAUCAGAAAAGCCAAGGCUGAAAUCCCAGUUCUGCCACUUACUUGCUAUGUGACCUUGGGCAAGUUACUCAAUCUCUCUAAGCCUUUCUUCCCAUCUAUAAAAUACUGUCUAAAACUAGUAUCCACUUCAAGGUUAGUCAUGAAGAUGCAAAGAGAUAAUGUUGGUAAAGCACUCUGCACACAGCCUCACUGGAAGCAUUCAAUACUUGUCAGCUCCCUAGUAUAAAUUAACUGUACUUAUUCAUGUAUAGGUUCUCUAAACAUCAACUAAAUGUUAGGAUUUGAAAUAUAAAGAUUGAAGAGAGUAUUCUUACCCAAGGGGGUAAAAUAGAUAAAACAGUUAUAACAUGAAGCAUCAGAAGAAGUGACAACAGUUGAGCAGGUGUAGAAGGGGAAAGUGCUAGAUCCCUCGGUGGAGGGAACAGCAGGUGCCAAGACAGUAACCCUAGCUCUGAUAUGAGAGCUCUGUCUCUUCUUUUGAUAAUUUCACCUUAUUACUAGGCUGCAUCUUCCAUAAGGUAGGGACUUAUGGAGUCCCUACACUCUAUGGAUUGGAAUAGAAAAUGAAUUUGAGCUUACGGCUUUCCCUAAUUCUAUUAUGCAUUUUAGCACAAUGUGCUGCUUCUACAAAAUGGGGAUUUAGAUAUACCUUUAAAGCAUCCCAGUAAGUCUCUAAAGUAUGCAUUCUAAAUAAAAGGUUCUAAUGAACAUUUACAAAAAAGUCAAAAACACACUUUAACAACCAAUUUAAAAAUCAAAAUUUCCACUGUUCUCAAAAUAAGAUAUACCAACAAAACUAUUUCACUUGUUGUUUGCCAUAGCAUUUAGUUGAUAAAUAUUUAAGUUAAUGAAUGUAAUAAUCACUAUAAAGAAAUGCUUUGGGUGCAUUAAAGAACACAAUUUUCAGGGCAUCUUAAAAGAUAACACAGCAACAUGAAUUAAAAUUUCACAUGUUAGAAAGUAAUAUGACAUUUCUAAGUGCUUAGGUAACAAAUCUGAAACAAUAACCAGCUUAAAAUUGGGCAAAAUAAUAUAAGUGAUAAAAUAUUCUGUUCCUUUUAUAAAAUCUAAUCCCAGUGUGAUCAUUUAACACGUUUUUUCAGACACAUUCUUGUACUGCUCUUAAAACAGCAAAAGAGCUAAAAAAAAAAAAAAAAAAAGGAAAUAAAAUAUCAAAGAAAGUAACAGGCACUAUCUAGCCCAUUAGCACACAUCUCACUUUAUCACUCAACAUUUUUCUUUAUUAUGAAAUAAACAUUUUUAGAUCUGUAGUUAAAGGCAGAUAUUUUAAGAAUUAACAUUUUUAAAAUAAGAAAGCAAAAAAUUUUCUGAUUUUAUGGAGAUAGUUAUAUUUUCCCCACACUCAGUUCUGAAGUAAAGAUACAUGACAGCAAACAAUUCUACCUGAAGUUCCCCAACUGAAGUAACAGCACCUUAAGGCUCUAUGUAGGCUAUGCCCCAGGUGAAAGUCAGUCUCAAGGUAAAGGCAAAAAGAAACUUUCGCAGUAAGGAAGGAGAACACCUUUAAAGUCAUAAAGGUACAGAAAUGAAAACAUAAACAAGCUUGAAACUCAGGGCCAAUGGAAUACAGAGUAAGAUCAUGCUUUCUCAUUCUCUGUCACCCUACAUAUACUCCAACUCUAUGGCUAUCCAACCCAUAGGUGCUAUUCCAAACAAUUCUUCAGCUGUUCUAACCAUUUAAUGCAUCUCAAAUAUUAAAGACUUUUGUCUUCAUAAAGUCUAUGCAAAAUCACUUAUCACUGCAGCAAUGGAGUCAAGAACUCCUAGGUGUGAAUAAAAAAUAUUCCUCAAUUAUCUGUACUAAAGAAAGGAGAGAGGGAUAUGAAUAAUUCAGUAUACUAUGUAAGAUAGGCUCUUCAAUGUAUAUUAAAUUUUAUCAUGUUAAUGACUCCUCAAAAGAGGCAUUCCAGCCUUCUGCCAACCAAUACACAUUUAUAUCACCUUUCAGUUAUUCAUA
rnacentral:lncRNA from 1 species